AAUCCAACGGCAAAGGUUGUACCCUAAAUGGACCGAACUGAAGUUCCCAGAAGUGAUUUACGGUGUUCCACAGCCGAUCAACGAAAUCGAUAUACCCAUCGAGUUGAAGUCUGGCACCAAAUGCGUUGGUACCACUGCAUGUAUGGGCAACGUCCAAGCGAGGGCCUGCGUCAUCACACACUUGGAUGAAAUUGGCCAGUUACAAAAAGGUGAUAUACUGAUACAUACUCUACAGAUAUUGGUUGGUCUCCAUAUUUUCCCAUGCUAUCUGGUGUUGUUACUGAAUUAGGUGGGCUAGUAUCACACGGUGCUGUCGUGGCCAGAGAAUACGGACUACCCUGUAUAGUGGGAGUGAAAAACCUUACGAAAAUGUUUAAAACCGGCGAUAUCGUGUUUUUGAAUGGAAAAACUGGAGAAUUGGGAAAAGUAGAAGAACAGUAUUAAAAGUUACAUUUUAUUUGUAAUGUUUGCAACAAGCUUGUGAUAUUUUUUAAACUUAUUAAAUAUUGUAUAUGACUUGUUUUAUAUUAUUGAGAUUGUUUAAUAAACCUACGUUACGUUAAAAUAUA